AUAUAAGCUGUUGUUUAGGCCUCACGGAAUGCGUCAUGAUCGAAAACCCACGCCUUCUUUUCGUUGCUACGGACUACAGAGAGUGACGUUAGGCUGCCGAGACUGUGCAUGUGUGGUGUGCCGUCAGGGCUCUCAACUGUGUAGCAUGGUAGUUUAACGUAGCUCCGGUCGGAGCACCAGCUGUUGCCGUCACAACUAUUAAAGACGCUAUCAUGAUUUUCGGAUGUUCCAUUGUGAGUAUCAUGUCAUCGGAUCACGGGUCCUCGAUUUUGCAUGCGUUAAGGCGGGCUGAGUGAGAUGUGGUCAUAUCGGUAUAACGCCUCCCCCUCAUUCGUGGAGCCACGUUGCUGCUUGGUUGCUUUGGGGCUGCUUGCUGUUUGGUUUUGCUGCUUGAUGGUCUGAUUUGGUUUUAUUUUGUUCUGCUUUGUUUCGUUAUUUUGUUUUGUGUUGGUUACUGUCACUAAGAUCAGUUUUCUUUAAUUAACUGUGUUGUAACAGUCUUUAUCAGUUAUGCUGAUACUGCUAUGUGGUACUAGUGGUUUUGGUCAGUCUUGGUAAACUUGCUACCAGUAAUCAGUUUGAGUGUGAGGUUGUGUGUUUUUGUGACAGUAAGUUUGUCUUUGUUUUGUUUUAUUCUGUCGUUUGUCAGAUUUGAGCGUAUUGUAAUUGAUUUUGUGUGUUUUUGUUAUCUCCUUGUAGGAGCUGAGUGCUUCCUGAGGCUGGGAGGAGUUCUUUGCUGCACCUUUGUCUUUACUUAAUUAAGGGUCAUUAUUAUUGCUGUGUUUAUUCUCGGUGAAUUUUGAGGGUAUGAUUUUGAUUAGUGGGGUGCUUUUGCCUUUUGUAUAGUUGGUGCUGUCGUACUAGCCUGCCCUUCAUACAGGAAGCCUCAGUCCUCCUAUGAUUAUUGUUAACUUCCUCUUGUGACUGUUUUAUUUGACCAAUGCCUGACUGUGUUGGAUGUUGUUUCUUUUAAAUAAUUCUUGACCAGUCUUUUUAACUUUAAAAUAAAAUGUAUUCUUGUAUGGAAA